ACGGGGUGUCGUGACGGGCGCCUGUGAGCCAGUGUCUAGGCCGUAGAUUGUGGAGGAGGAAGUGCGGAAGGGAUGCCGGGUACUUGAUGCAGACAAAUCGACUGUGUCGACCGGGUGCCCGUACCAUGCAAUGCGUUACUAUGGUGGGAACCUCGGAAGGGGAUCCCACCCGGGUAUUAAAGACAACUGAAUGGCUCAGGCCCGAAAGGGAACAGGCAAAAGGUUGCGCGUAUUGACAGUGGACGGAUUGUGUCUGAGAGCAGUUUGAAGUAUCAAGCCUAACCAAUACCUGCCGACACACAAUCGA
rfam:Pristionchus pacificus strain PS312 contig5250, whole genome shotgun sequence.